rnacentral:tRNA from 1 species
GCUGGUGUGGCAGAGCCUGGUAAAUGCAAAAGGCCUAAGCCCUUUCUGCCAGAGGUUCAAAUCCUCUCCCCAGCC